AUACGAAGGGGGCUAGCGUUGUUCGGAAUUACUGGGCGUAAAGCGCGCGUAGGCGGACUGAUCAGUUGGGGGUGAAAUCCCAGGGCUUAACCCUGGAACUGCCUCCAAUACUGUCAGUCUUGAGUUCGGGAGAGGUGAGUGGAAUUCCUAGUGUAGAGGUGAAAUUCGUAGAUAUUAGGAAGAACACCAGUGGCGAAGGUGGCUCACUGGCCCGAUACUGACGCUGAGGCGCGAAAGCGUGGGGAGCAAACAGGAUUAGAUACCCUAGUAGUCC
rnacentral:rRNA from 1 species